GACAAUUGUUUUAACGCAAAAGGCUCACAAUUAGCUAAGAGUUUUUCUGGUCUGUUGUCUAUCGCAAACCCUAGGUCAUGUCUGGGACGUACAAUCAAGGCGGCGGCGGCGGUGGUGCGCCUAUUCCGUCGUACGGUGGUGAUGGAUACGGAGGAGGUGGAGGUUAUGGAGGUCGCAGUGCCUCUGGCGGAGGUGGAUACGGCGGACGCGGUGGUUACGGUGGCGGCGGCGGUAGAGGAAAUCAAGGCGGUGGUGGUGGAUAUGGUGAUCGCGGUGGAAGAGGAGGCGGCGGCGGCGGCGGCGGCGGGAGAGGUGGUGGUGGUAGAGAUGGUGGCGGCAGAGAUGGUGAUUGGCGUUGCCCUAACCCAAGCUGUGGGAACGUGAACUUUGCAAGGAGAGUUGAAUGUAACAAGUGUGGUGCACCUGCUCCUUCUGGCACGGGUGACCGAGGAGGUGGCCGAGGUGCCAGUGAUCGUGGUGGUGGUGGUGGUCGUGAUAGUGGCCGUGAUAGUGGUAGGAGCUACGAGAGUAGUAGAUAUGAUGGUGGCAGUAGGAGCGGUGGUGGUGGUGGCUCUUAUGGGAGUGAUAGUCAACAUAGGGGUAAUGGUUCUUAUGGUCAGGGUCCUCCACUUCCUUUGGCGGCUAUUCCAUCCUACGAUGGUUCUGGCAGUUACCCUCCUCCACCCAUGGGGUAUGGGAUGGAAGCAGUUCCCCCGCCUUCAAGCUAUGCUGGUGGUCCACCUUCGUAUGGUGGUCCCACAGGGGGUUAUGGCGGUGAUGCACCGAGCACUGGUGGUCGGGGUGGUAGAGGUGGUGGUGGCUACGAUGGUGGUAGUGCUCCUCGACGCCAGGAACCUAGUUAUGAAGAUGCACCUGCUGAAAAAGUCAAGCAGUGCGACGAGAAUUGUGAUGAAACUUGUGAUAAUGCCAGAAUAUAUAUCAAUAAUUUACCUCCGGAUGUGACAACCGAUGAACUCAAGGAUCUCUUUGGUGGCAUUGGUCAAGUUGGAAGAAUCAAGCAGAAGCGGGGUUACAAAGAUCAGUGGCCAUAUAACAUCAAGAUUUACACUGAUGAUAAGGGAAAGAACAAAGGUGACGCCUGCCUGGCUUAUGAAGAUCCUAGCGCAGCACACUCGGCAGGCGGCUUUUUCAACAAUUAUGAAAUGAGGGGGAACAAGAUUAGUGUAACGAUGGCAGAGAAGUCGGCACCUAAAGCUCCUGCUUUUGACCAGAGAGGCGGUGGUAGAGGAGGAGGAGGAGGUGGCUAUGGUGGUGGUGGGGGAGACAGAAGAAGAGAUAACUAUGGUUCAGGACCAGACAGAAACCACCAUGGAGGAAACCGUUCCCGUCCGUAUUGAGAGAAAGCGUUGAAUCAAUGAAUCAGCUGUUAUGUAUUCUAAGAGUUUGUGUGUUGACGGUUUUGGGAAUUUUAGUUAAAUGUUGCAUUUUGAUGAGAAAAAUGUUCUAUAAAUCAUCAUCAUAUAUUGGAGAUACAAACAAACAAAAGAGAAGGGAGUGGAAAACUACCUCCAAAAUGCAUUGCAAAAUGGUGGGUAAGAUAGGGUUCAUGAUGAUUUCAGCACAUAUGUUCCAUGACAAAACGGCAGGAGUGGGGGGCCGGCUAGGCACUCGUGUCUGAUCCGUGGAACCUGCAGUAUGCUUUGAAAUUUCAAAGACCAGCUUGAUGAAACUAGUGCUUACGAGAUCCGUUUUUUUUUUGUUAGACCCGUGUGGCUAUAUAUAGCUAGCUCUGAGUAUUUACGAACCAGUGGCGGUUUUAGGUCAAUAUAAGUAGUUCCAAAGAGAAGGGUAUCUCGUCAAGUCCUUUAAGAUGUGUCUUGACACGACAAUAGGCAGUUGGGAUAUCGUUGAUGUCUGAGUUAGACCUGUUUGAUAUUUCCUAUAGUUGCCGACAUGUUCUGAAAGAAUAAAAGGAUCUUUAAUCAUUUGUUUAUUGUUAUUUGUUUUUACUAA